rnacentral:rRNA from 1 species
CCUACGGGGGGCUGCAGUGAGGAAUAUUGGUCAAUGGCCGAGAGGCUGAACCAGCCAAGUCGCGUGAGGGAAGAAUGUCCUAUGGAUUGUAAACCUCUUUUGUCAGGGAGCAAAGUCACCCACGUGUGGGUGUUUGAGAGUACCUGAAGAACAAGCAUCGGCUAACUCCGUGCCAGCAGCCGCGGUACUACGGAGGAUGCGAGCGUUAUCCGGAUUUAUUGGGUGUAAAGGGUGCGUAGGCGGGUUAUCAAGUCAGCGGUAAAAUCUUGGAGCUCAACUCCAGCCAGCCGUUGAAACUGAUGAUCUUGAGUGGGCGAGAAGUAUGCGGAAUGCGUGGUGUAGCGGUGAAAUGCAUAGAUAUCACGCAGAACUCCGAUUGCGAAGGCAGCAUACUGGAGCCCGACUGACGCUGAAGCACGAAAGCGUGGGUAUCGAACAGGAUUAGAUACCCGGGUAGUC